rnacentral:rRNA from 1 species
UACGAAGGGGGCUAGCGUUGUUCGGAAUCACUGGGCGUAAAGGGCGCGUAGGCGGCUUUAUAAGUCGGGGGUGAAAGCCUGUGGCUCAACCACAGAAUUGCCUCGAUACUGUAUGGCUUGAGACCGGAAGAGGUAAGUGGAACUGCGAGUGUAGAGGUGAAAAUUCGUAGAUAUUGGGGAAGAACACCAGUGGCGAAGGCGGCUCACUGGCCCGUAACUGACGCUGAGGUGCGAAAAGCGUG